CCCUCACAACAAUCUACAAACGAUCGCGCAUAUCCACUGUGCGGCUCUGAACCACCACACCCCCCUMGGGGGUGCUGGUCCAGRAGCCCCUGACAACACCACCCCCUCGACCCAGGUCGAGGGACGUGGUCCCAUAAUCUU
rnacentral:misc_RNA from 1 species